GGAUUUAGCUCAGUGGCACAGCGCCUGCCUGGUAAGCAUGAGGCUCUGAGUUCGAUUCCGAGUAUCCG
rnacentral:tRNA from 1 species